GUAAGCGGUAUCAAAUGUAGGGUGAUAGAAGAGAAUAUCCAUGGUCAUUCCUGCCUCUUAUUGCGCUGUUUUGUUUUCGUUUUCAAGUGGGUAUACGGCAACGUAUCGGGGGUUCGAAUCCCCCCCUCACCGCCA
rnacentral:tRNA from 1 species